rnacentral:rRNA from 1 species
AUGGAUUUGAACUUGAUGCCUCAAGAGGAAGACGAUGAAGACAUUAAUUUGAAUUGGGUCCCUGGAGAGGAGGAACCUCAAGUGGCAGAAAAUGGAGAUAUGGAUUUGAACUUGAUGCCUCAAGAGGAAGACGAUGAAGGCAUUAAUUUGAAUUGGGUCCCUGGAGAGGAGGAACCUCAAGUGGCAGAGAAUGGAGAUAUGGAUUUGAACUUGAUGCCUCAAGAGGAAGACGAUGAAGCUAUGAAUUGGAUGCCUCAAGAAGAUGAAGCUCAAGAGAAUGAAGCUCAAGAGGAAGAGGAUGAAGUUAUGAAUUGGAUACUUCAAGAGAAAAGAAGAGAAUUGUCAGAUAAGGAGAGGCACGGUGUUUACUUUGCCUUGCUGGUAAUCGAGCUCAGAGAUGGGUCUGUUCAACCAGACGACAAGCUGCUAGUCUCAAACCUGUUGGACAUAAGUGUACGAUCUGUUGAAAGAAUCUGGGAAGAAGCCAAAAAGCAAAUUGCCGAUGGCAAAGAAGUAGAUGUCUCAAGCAAGAAGCCAGGAAGGUCUGGCCGAAAGAGAAAGGAGCUGGAUCUAGAGAGGACCUCAACAAUCCCACUAAAUAAAAGAAGGACAAUUCGAUCUCUGGCACGGUCUCUAGGUGUGGCCCGAUCGACCCUACAUAAGAGGUUCCAGCUGAAUGAGCUCAACCGCAUCACAAGCACCGUGAAACCUCACCUCAAGCUAGAGAACAAGCUUGCGAGAUUGAAAUUUUGUAUGUCCAUGAUCGAUGACAAUUCAAUCUCAACUUCUCGGGCUAUGUUUAAACCAAUGACGAAUAUGGUUCACAUCGAUGAGAAGUGGUUUGACAUGACGAGAGUGAAGAAUAGUUACUAUGUACUUCCAGGAGAACCUGAGCCGAAGCGCACCGUGUCAAACACUCACAGCAUUGGGAAGGUGAUGUUCCUAACAGCUGUUGCCAGGCCUCGAUAUAACAAUGAGGGGGAGCUAACAUUCGACGGGAAGAUUGGCAUUUGGGCAUUCGUUGAAGAGACUGAGGCGAAGCGGACAAGUCAUAACAGAACAAAGGGAACAAAAGUGUUGACAUCAGUGAAGGUAACUAGGCCUGUGUGCAGAGAUUAUCUAAUCAAUAAGGUUAUCCCGGCAAUUCAGGAUAAGUGGCCUGACGAUGACGAGGGAGCAACAAUAUUCAUCCAACAGGAUAAUGCAAAGCCCCAUGUCCUUCCCAAUGAUGUAGCUUUUCGAGAAGCUGUGGAACAAACUGAUCUUGACAUCCGAUUGCUACAACAGCCCCCAAAUAGCCCUGAGUUAAAUUGUUUGGACCUCUGCUUCCAUACCUUUCUCCAGUCUCUAACCGACUGCAGGUCACCCACAAACAUCCAGGAACUGGUACAGGGUGUGGAAGAGGAAUUCGAGAACUACGAUCCCGACAAGUUGCACAGAAGCUUUAUCACAUUAGAAGCAGUUAUGUUUGAAGUUAUGAAAGACAAAGGAGGAAAUCAAUAUAAGUUGCCCCACUUGCACAAGGAUCGCAUUCAGAAUGCUGGCGGGGAAAUCAUCAGUGUAUAUUGCGACAGUCGGGUAGUUGUUGAUACUAGGGCCAUUAUAGAAGAAAUGGAAAUUGCAAUAGGAAAAGAAAAUGAUAGGAAAGAAUUGACUAAAGAAGGGAGAAGAAAGAAAAGUAAAGGGAAGGGAAGGGAAGAAGUGGCCAGAGAAAGGAAAAGAAUGUAG